NNNNNNNNNNNNNCUCCUGCUUCCUGACCUGCUUGAGUUCCAGUCCUGCAUCCUUUGGUGAUCAACAGCAAUGUGGAAAGUCUUGUGAUGCACAGGUUUGAAGAGUCUGGAGAGAUGAGGUCACAGCUGGAAAUCACUUUUGAAGAUGGAACCCGGUCUGAGAAACCACCUGCUUCUUCCUUAGUGACUUCGUUCCUGCAGGCAGCCCCCUUCUCCCUCCUUUAAGGUCAACAUGACUCGACUUCAGACAACUGGUCAUCUAAACGGGUUCUAACUGGGCUCCUGCUGGUACUGACCAUCCUCCCCACUGACCAUUUGCUCCUAAGACAUCCUCAGAGUGCAGGAGCGCCAGCGAUCAUUCUGUGAUAAUGGGGUGAUGUCAUUGGCCAACUUUCUGGGCCAGAACUCAAUUAAAAUUCUCUGGCGUUUGGGGCCAUGACUCAGUUGGUACGGCAUUUGCACUGUGAGCAUAAGAAUAUGGAUUUGGAUGCCCAGAACCCGUACAAAAUGCCUGAUGAGGUGAUACAUACCUGUACUCC
ensembl:sense_intronic C87198 expressed sequence C87198